CCAAGAGCUCCCAGGUCUUUCUCUCACUCUUCCCUCCACCCAAAGCCUAGAGAGUUGAAAGGAAACUUGACAAAUGAAUAAGAUUGCCCCAAAGUACAUGCCAAGCACUUGUUCAAAGCAACAUAAUAAAGACUGCUUUCUCCUCUCUUAAAAUAAAACAGUUUGCUGUGAGGAGUAUAGCUAAGGUAGCUUUAAUCCUACUCAAGACAUCACAGCUGGCUCCUUAACCCUCCCAGAGAUGAGAUCUGCUUCAUUUUGGAGGCGUUCACACUUAUUUCAUCAAUCAAAAGACAACCCACCCCUCUGUGCUAUGUCGGGGCUGGUUUUACAGGGAUGAUUCCUUCACCUGUAAGCGUUCUCACCCUCUUUCUGCCAACCCUUCUCCACUUCUUCAUCCAAUAAAGAAACUUGUGAUUUCACCAGCUUGUUUAUCUCCCUGUUUCUGCACCAUCGAGAGAAAAUCCAGUUUCCUUUUGUGAAGCCAAAUAGAAAACUCAACAGAACAUAUAGACAAGUUAAGGAAAAAAAAAAAAACACACAGAAGCGCUAAGUGUACAGAAGGAAGGGCUGGUGGAGGGGUGGAGAAGUCCCAGGAGUGACUGAUGAGGGAAAUUUGGUCUGGGGGAGGCUGCUGAGCAGAGGCAGGCAGCAGAAAAUUAGCCAGAAUAAGGGGGAAAUCCCCUUCUGGGCUGAGAAUCAGCUCCCCUGCAAUGUUUUUGCUAAGGUGCUGUCAAGAUUGGAAUUGUUCUAGUUAUUUUUGCUCAUCAGACAGCACUUUUUGGAAACUACUCCAGUAGCACUGGGCUGCACGGGGGCCCAGCCUUGGAUCUGAGUCUCUCCCCAGAGAGGUGACAGCACUGCGAACUCCUGAGUACUCUGAGCUCAUCUUCCCACACUGCCUCCCACAUAUCUCCUCUGUGGGCUGUGUCCUGUGCUCAGAAUUCCACCAGUGACGACUCUGAACAGAGGAAGGGCAGGCGCAAAGGGUAGGCUCACGGCCAACCCCCUUCUGCAAAUGUUUUCAUCAAAGCAAUGGUACCACCUGUGAAAAAUCUAGGCCAGCGCCUGACCAUAAGAGUGCUCCAUUGUGAGGCCCCGUCUUUUCAGGGCUGUAAGAGAAUGGGGACCUAGGAGAGCUGUGUUUCGAGUCUCGGCAAGGCCAUCCAGGACAGGGUGCCUCAAGGGAAGCCUCGAGAUUCCACAGCUAAAACAGGAAUGAGCCACUUUCAGUAAGUAUUGAGGGGAAGGGGAGAUGGAGCCCAGAGGAGAGAGGAGAGGGCGUUGGAGUAACCUCUGUCUUCUAAUGUCCCUGAGUCACCCUGCAGAGAAGAAAGAAAUGCAAUUUCUACAGGACAAAGGAGCUGAGUCUCUCCAGGCUCACACAUAAAAAUGGCGGUACGGGCAAAGUUGAGGAGAAUCAAAACGGCGUGCAAGUCUACACUUCAGUAAUUUGAGGCCGAACUGGAAGGCAGUACAUCAUAGAGGCUGAGAGCUUGGCUUUGGAGGCUGACAAACCAGAUUCGGAGGAAGUGGCAAAAAUGCGGAGUCCCACCUGCCCUCCAGCCAGCCUUCCCCGGUGGUGACAUCAUACACAACCAGAAUAUAAUAUCAAAACCAGGAAACCAGGGGCCCCUGAGUGACUCAGUCAGUUAAGCCUCCUACUCUUGGGUUCUGCUCAGGUCAUGAUCUCAGCAUCGUGAGAUCAAGCCGAGUCUGCUUAAGACACUCUCUUCCUCUGCCUCUA